GCUUCUCCACUACCAGGGCAGCUCUCAUGCUCACGUCCUUGCGCCACAGAGCUGGGGUGAGCACAUCACACAGUCCCAUGAAUGUGGCUUUCCUCAUUCGAAAGUUCUGCAGCCA